rnacentral:rRNA from 1 species
UAUGGAGACUGUAUGAAUGGCAUCACGAGGGCUUAACUGUCUCCCCUCCCCAGUCAAUGAAAUUGAUUUCCCCGUGCAGAAGCGGGGAUAAUAACAUAAGACGAGAAGACCCUAUGGAGCUUUAGACGUCAGAGCAGCUCAUGUAAAGCACCCCUUAACAAAGGAAAAAACCAAAUGAAACCUGCCCUAAUGUCUUUGGUUGGGGCGACCGCGGGGAAAUACAAAACCCCCAUGUGGAGUAGGAAUACACAUUCCUAGACCCAAGAGCUCCCGCUCUAAUAAACAGAAAUUCUGACCAACAAGAUCCGGCAUAUGCCGAUCAACGGACCGAGUUACCCUAGGGAUAACAGCGCAAUCCCCUUAAAGAGCCCUUAUCGACAAGGGGGUUUACGACCUCGAUGUUGGAUCAGGACAUCCUAAUGUCCCCAGCCGCUAAA